AAUAUUGCACAAUGGGGGCAACCCUGACCCAGCCAUGCCGCGUGUGUGAAGAACGUCUUCGGUUUGUAAAGCACUUUAAGUUGGGAGGAAGGGCUUUAGGUUAAUACCCUGAAGUUUUGACGUUACCACCUGCAUAAGCACCGGCUAACUCUGUGCCCGCAUCCGCGGUAAUACAGAGGGUGCAAGCGUUAAUCGGAAUUACUGGGCGUAAAGCACGCGUAGGUGGUUCAGUAAGAUGGGUGUGAAAUCCCCGGGCUUAACCUGGGAACUGCUUUCAUAACUGCUGAGCUAGAGUACGGUAGAGGGUAGUGGAAUUUCCUGUGUAGCGGUGAAAUGCGUAGAUAUAGGAAGGAACACCAGUGGCGAAGGCGACUACCUGGACUGAUACUGACACUGAGGUGCGAAAGCGUGGGGAGCAAAC
rnacentral:rRNA from 1 species